ACUCUCAAACUAUCAAUCUAACAAGUAAACUCAUAUUUUUCUACUGUAUGCUGGUGGAUAUGAAUAAUCAAGAAGGAGACAUAGAUGCUGGACUUUGCCCCUAGGAGAGAAAGAUUCAUUUAUGACCUGCUUUUUUUUUUUUUUUGGAAAAGCAGAAGAAACCCAAAUUAUAAUCCAUAAGGUAUUCACCUGAGCACAUGCUGGCUUCAUGCUUUCAGGAAUGAAAUGCCCAACUCACCGGAUCAACUUGGGUCAGAGAUACUGAUAAACCUCUCAUGCCUUGAAAUUGUAAUGGAAUGCAAGUUCAGCCACUUGCUGCUUGAGAAGCCGAAUACACAAGAGAUGGAAAAAGAGGGUGCUGGCAGAAGGAUCCCUGGUUGGGCAGGGACAUGCCAGUAUGUCCAGAGGAGUUCCCUGCCUGCCAGGAAUCUCAGCAGACACAGUGAUGUGAAAGAGCAAGACAAAAUGCCAGCAGAGACAGUGUUUCACCAUGUUAGCCAGGAUGGUCCCGAUCUCCUGACCUCAUGGUCCACCCGCCUCGGCCCCCC
rnacentral:antisense_RNA from 1 species